rnacentral:misc_RNA from 1 species
GAUGAAGAACGUAGCGAAAUGCGAUAAGUAAUGUGAAUUGCAGAAUUCAGUGAAUCAUCGAAUCUUUGAACGCACAUUGCGCCCAUUAGUAUUCUAGUGGGCAUGCCUGUUCGAGCGUCAUUUCAACCCUCAAGCCUUAGUUGCUUGGUGUUGGGAGCUUAUCUUGCCGAAAGGCGGGACAACUCCUUAAAUUUAUCGGCGGAGUCGCGGUGACCCCAAGCGUAGUAAAUUAUUUUUUCCUCGCUUUAGGUGUUAACGCUGGCUUUUCUAGCCGUUAAACCCCCCCUUAUAUUUUAAUGGUUGACCUCGGAUCAGGUAGGACUACCCGCUGAACUUAAGCAUAUCAAUAAGCGGAGGA